rnacentral:tRNA from 1 species
UGGGAGGUCGUCCAAUGGUAGGACUGCGGACUCUGGAUCCGCCUAUCGGGGUUCGAAUCCCUGCCUCCCAGCCA